UGAGGAUUGGUGUAACGGUAACACACCUGACUCUGGAUCAGGCAUUCCAGGUUCGAAUCCUGGAUCCUCAGCCA
rnacentral:tRNA from 1 species